GGAAAGGUNUAGCUCAGUUGGGAGAGCACUUGCCUUGCAAGCAAGGGGUCAGGAGUUCGACUCUCCUCAUCUCCACCA
rnacentral:tRNA from 1 species